UGCCAGCCGCCGCGGUAAUACGGAGGGAUCGAACGUUAAUCGGAAUUACUGGGCGUAAAGCGCGCGUAGGCGGUUCGAUAAGUGGGGUGUGAAAUCCCCGGGCUCAACCCGGGAACUGCAUCCCAAACUGUCGAACUAGAGUAUGGUAGAGGGAGGUAGAAUUUCUUGUGUAGCGGUGAAAUGCGUAGAUAUAAGAAGGAAUACCGAUGGCGAAGGCAGCCUCCUGGACCAAUACUGACGCUGAGGUGCGAAAGCGUGGGGAGCAAACAGGAUUAGAUA
rnacentral:rRNA from 1 species